UAUAUGUAAAUUCAACCUAAUAAGUCCAUUUAUCAUUGCUUGUAUAUAUUUGUUUAGAGCUGAUCCCUGGGUGGGGUCAUAGCUUGUCCCUGAAAAUUGACUCUGUCUCUCAGCAGCUGUUUUGCCUGAAGUUCUUCAUUUGGGGAAGAACCCUGUAAGAUUUACUCCCCCCACCCCGGUCCCCAUCCACACUGGCAUGUCAAAUGGUGGUAUUGUUGUGCAGGUAUUGUAUAUGCCACCGUACUUUUGCGUUUUCAUGGCUAUAGCUUUCCUGUCAUAUAUGAAAGACACUAUCUCACAGCAUGCAUUGUGACCCUCUGGCUCUUACAGUCUUCCACCUCCUUCCAUGACCUUCCCUGAACCUUAGGUGUAGGAGUUGUGCUACAUUGUUUAUCACUGGAGUUGAGCAUUCCAUGAUCAGUUAAAAAAAUAGAGAAUGCUUAAUGAAUUUUCUUAUCAUACCACACAGGGGCCAUGCUAAUCUUUUCUAUAUCAUUCCAAUAUUAGUAUAUAUGCUGCUGAAAUGAUUCGCUUAAUUAUGCAGGUCUCAUGUUGACCUUCAUGUAGAUUUUUCAGGAUAUCUGACCCUCCUUAUCCUUUCUUUUUUUCAUUGUACUUAGAAAAAUUACCACCUUUGAAAUCAAAAUUGUUAGUAAGUACACACUCAAUUUGAUGGUGUAAUUUGCUUCAUUUUUUUUCCUUAUAAGAAAAAUUGACAAACAAAAAACCAAAUAAACCACCCACGUUGACUUAUUUUCAGCAUCCUGUUGGUAUGGUUCAGUGUGUUAAAUUUCAUUUAAAAGACUAUUGAAGGGAAAUAUUGAAUCUCGAAACAGCAGGGUGAGAUGAGACAGAGGUGAAUGUUAAUUUGAAAAUGAUCUCCAGACAGUUGCUCCUGGUGUAACAGACCUCUUGUCUUUCUGAAAAUCACCACACUGUUGCAUAUUCACACAGUGGAAACCAUAGGCUGAUGGAGGGAAUUAGAGUAAGAGGAAACAGCACCCCAAAACCUCACCUUUGCCAGGUACUAAAAAAGAAAUAACUUAAAAAGUUAUCACAGGCCAGUGAGAUAGCUUAGCAGGUAAAGGUGUUUGUCAUGGAAUCUGGUGGCUUAGGCUUUAUCUCCUGCAGACUGUCCUCUGACCUCCUUAUGUGGUACAUGUGCCACCCCCAACACAAAUACAUGAAUGCACAUUUUUAAAAUAGCAUGGUUUUAUGCAACUCACUGCUUUUUUUUAAAAGCAUAAACAUUGCAGUAAAUAGAGUACUUAAAAAACAUUGCUUCCAGGGGUAGGCACUAGGAGUGGUGCAGCUUUUGAGAAUGUCUAGGGUGGUAGGAGGCCUGCCUGAAGUCAGGGGGCUAGUUUAAAUAGCAGGUGUCUGUGGGUGUAGCUCUGACACUGCCGACCCUGGACAGCUGGUGGAUGUUAAGAUGCCUGAGUGCACAUCUUGUGUUUUCUAGCCUUCCCCAGUUCAGUGAGCUUCCUGUGGAAGAAAGGCAAACUUCAUACACACUUAAACUGUCUUUAAUAUUUCAGUUGUGUUGGAACAAAUUUGUAUUUUCAAAGUAGGAGUUAUAGCUAUAUCAAAAUGGUUUAUAAUCUUAUCUUCAAUUAUUGUGUAAGGAAGCUAAGACUGAGUGAGCCACAGUACAUGUGGUGUGGUAGCCAUGUUAGUGGCGGAGAAGAUCAUGAUUUACAGGCCUCAGCCUCCUUCCCCAUCAGCUGUGUGCUGUACUGUCUCACCUUUCAUUGUGUUAUAAAAUUCCUAUCAUUAAAAAACAAAAUCCUAUUUGGUGGUGGUGGCACACAGACAGACCUCUGAGUUCAAGGCCAACCUGGUCUACAGAGUUAAAGGACAGCCAGGACUUCAUGAAGAAACCCUGCCUCAAAAAUAACUAACUAAGUAAGUAACCACUGACCUGAGGUUUCAAGGAUGGACAGAUGGCUCAGUGGUUAAGAGCACUGGGUGUUCUUCCCGAAGACCCAGGUUCAGUUCCCAUCACUGACAUAGCAGCUUACAACCAUUUGUAACUAUCUUUCUCAUACAGACACACAUACAGGCAAAACACAUGAAAUAAAAAUAAAGCCAGUUUUUAAAAUGCUGU
rnacentral:lncRNA from 1 species